rnacentral:lncRNA from 1 species
AAAAAUAUAUUAAAAGUCUUUCCAAUUUUACUUUUAUAAUUUAUUUUACAUUAAGUGGAGGUGAUUACAAAUGGAGAACAUUAUUAUCUCAUAGUUUAUGUGAAGGAAUAUCUAUCUCAAUUGAUGAAGAUAAUGAAUUAAUAAUAGAACAAAAUUGUAAUCCUCAUAUAAUAAAAAGUAAAUUCAAACCACAAAUAGGAAUACCAUAUCAUAUUGCAGUUGUUUUUAAUAAACCGUCUAAAACUAUAUCUUUAUAUAUUAAUAGUAAAAAAGUGGUAUUAGAAAAAGGAAAAUAUGACUUUACUCUUAAUGGAAAUUUAAUAAUUGGUAGGUCAAAUGACACUUCAACAGAUUAUUUUAUUGGAAAUAUUCAUUUGGUUGAAGUAUAUAAAUUUAUUUUAUCAGAAGAAGAAAUAACAGAAUCGUUUAAUUCUGCUAUUUCUUUGGAGUAUAUAGAUAUAAACAAUAAAGGGAUAGGAUCUUCUUUUUCUAGCAAUCAAAGAACUGCUGGGAAUAAUACAAUAAAUAAAAACAAUAAAAGUAAUAAAAAAGACGUUCGAAAAACUGUAGACGGAAGAGAAUGUAUAACUUCAUGUAAAUCAAAAAAUAUAUUAAAUAAAAAUUUAUUAAUCAACACUCAAGAAAUUAAUUUAAAAUGUGAACAUGAUUUACUUUCUCAUCAUUUUAAUGGAAAAAUCGGAUCAGAGUUUUUAGUUCGAUGUCAGGAUAAUUGUAUUAAAUCCAAAUAUAUAAUCAAAGGUGAAAAUAAUUUAUACACUCCUGAUUCAUCUAUAUGUAAAGCAGCAAUACAUGCAGGUGUAUAUAUACCUAAUAAACAAUCAGAUGCGCAAACAAAUAAUGAUACAUUUAUAAUUAAAAUAGUACAAGGAUUAGUAGAGUAUAAAAGUGCGAGAGGACAUUUUGGUAUUGUUAGUAAGCAAGAAAAACAAUCACAGUUGCGAUCUUUUUCAGUAUUUCCAAAAGUAUAUGAGGACGAUACUGAUGCUGAUGAUAAUGAUAGUGAUGGUAAUUAAACGUCCAUAUGAUCUACAACAGAACAUUUUUUACUAAAUCUACCUGUAAAAAAAAAAAAAAAAAAAAAAAAAAAAAAAAGCUAUUAUUUGCCCACCAUAUUGUGACCAAACAAAUGGACAAGUAUUUGGAACUGGUAUAUAUAACCCAUUGUCAGCUGUCUGUAAAAUAGCUAUACAUGCAGAUGUUUUAUCAACAUAAGGUGGACAAAUAAAUAUAAUAGUUCAAGAGGGUCA